rnacentral:lncRNA from 1 species
GUCUUCAAUUUUGGUCUGGGGUUUCAUAUCGAGGCUCUUUGAAACUAUUAAACAUUAUAUAAGUACCACAAAAGAGUAACAUUUUACACACAAAAAAUAACUACAAUGAAGUUUGCUGUCCUUCUAGUGUUCGCUGCUCUUCUCGUUGCCUCACAGGCAGCACCUGAGGCGUGCGGCAAUGGUUGUGUUUCUGCCGGCUCUAACGGUCACUCCUUCUGUAUCAACCUCUGCACCAACUGUACCGGCAACGUCAACUGCAACCAUCACCUGGACGAGUGUGAAUGCCAUCCUCAUGAUGUUUAAGGUAUGAAGUCUUUGGAAGAGCCAAGAAGCCAAACAUGUAACAUAGCUGACAAAUAAACUUUAAUAACAUCA